UACCAGCGGCCCUAGUGGUGAUCGUUAUUAUUGGGCCUAAAGCGUCCGUAGCCGGCCCGGUAAAUCUCUGGGUAAAUCGAUGGGCUCAACUCAUCGAAUUCUGGGGAGACUGCUGGGCUUGGGACCGGGAGAGGUCGGAGGUACUACAGGGGUAGGGGUGAAAUCCUGUAAUCCCUGUGGGACCACCGGUGGCGAAGGCGUCCGACCAGAACGGGUCCGACGGUAAGGGACGAAGCCCUGGGGCGCAAACCGG
rnacentral:rRNA from 1 species